AAUGGGGGCAACCCUGAUCCAGCCAUUCCGCGUGAGUGAAGAAGGCCUUCGGGUUGUAAAGCUCUUUCGGCCGGGAAGAAAUCGCAUCUCCUAAUACGGGGUGUGGAUGACGGUACCGGAAGAAGAAGCACCGGCUAACUACGUGCCAGCAGCCGCGGUAAUACGUAGGGUGCGAGCGUUANUCGGAAUUACUGGGCGUAAAGCGCGCGUAGGCGGUUACUUAAGUGAGGUGUGAAAGCACUGGGCUCAAACUGGGCACUGCACUUCGAACUGGGGGACUAGAGUUUUGGAGAGGAGAGUGGAAUUCCCGGUGUAGCGGUGAAAUGCGUAGAGAUCGGGAGGAACAUCAGUGGCGAAGGCGGCUCUCUGGCCAAAAACUGACGCUGAGGCGCGAAAGCGUGGGGAUCAAA
rnacentral:rRNA from 1 species